rfam:Rattus norvegicus chromosome 8, whole genome shotgun sequence.
GGGGAUUUAGCUCAGUGGUAGAGCGUUGCCUAGCAAGCGCAAGGCCCUGGGUUCGGUCCCCAGCUCCG